rnacentral:lncRNA from 1 species
GGCAGAUUUACUUUAUCUGAACACAGGAAAAACUUUUCCUUUUUUUUAAUAAACAAAACAAAGAUCAAGUUGGAACUAUGUUGUUCUUUUGGGUUUUUUUAAGUCCUUAAAUCCCAUACAUAUACACAUAUAUAUUUCUAUUUUAACAUUCUCUUUUCUUUUGACUUGAUGGUCAUAUUAUAAAUGGAAUUAACUACAUUACUAAUGCUUUUAAUUUGAUUUUAAUAGAGCCUAGGGCUGAAGCAUAGAAUAAUCACAUGGCCCAUUAAAACAAAAACACAGUUACAGGGACAAUAAAUAGCAUGUCCAGAUAAACACUUUUAUCUGUGUGUUAGUUUUCUUUAUUGAGCUGUGUAGCCCGUGUGCAGAGACUGGGGUUUUUUAAAACAUUUUUCCAAAGCUGAAGCCCACAUGAUGAGAUUGUUACUGGUUUUGGCAGCAGCAAUGUGAACUUGGUAAAAGAGCCUGGCAUGGGAAUCCACUGAGUCCUGACAUAUCCCAUUUGCCCCAAACUCUUUGAUUUCUGCUCACAGAAUCUGACAUGUGUGGGCAUUGACCUUGCUCUUUUAAAUAAGCUUAUUUUAGAAGACCUCUGCAGAACACUCUGUGUUUGGCCUCGAUGUAAGCUGUUAGGGAAAUGUAGUAAAAACACAGAAGUUGUAUGUUUUGAAUGCCAGAGAUGUUAAGCAGCAGAGCAGUUGGUAAAAGCUGUACUUCUGAUUGCUUUCUGUGCUCUCAACAUGUGUCCUGAAAGAAAAGAAAAAUUAUUUAUCCUGCUUUUGUGUGAUGGUUGUUAUUCAUUUAUUUUUAGGAGGAAGUUCAGGACCAGACUGCUUUUUCAGUCCUGCAUAUUCCAACUUUGGCUCUCAGACACUCAGUGGAGCAAAAGCAGCUUUUUUGAAAAGUGAUUGUUGGAGAUGUCCUGGGUCAGUAUCUCACUGUCCUGUAGAAUCACUCCUAGAAAUGUCUCUGCAGAAAGGUGCUCAGGUGCAGUAGUGACUUUUCCUUACAAAGCAGCACCCUCACCCUGUGUUUCAGGAAGGGCUGUAACCUUCACUGUGGAGAUCUGGUUUCCAUUCAUUACAGGGGAGCAGCUGGGGUGGAAGUUCAAUCCAAGAGCUGCAAUUUUGCCAGUGCCAACAAGGAAACAAAUUACUGGGCCCCAACAUGGCAACACACAUGGGAGAGAGAUUGGAAGUGCCUUUAAGAAACAGCAUGCAGAUGGUAAAACACUGACUGCCAUGAACUUCAUCAGGAAAAAAAAAUAUAAAAGAGAAAAAAGCAGUGGUUUGGAAGCAGCUGUAUGGCAAACUGCAGGCUGA